rnacentral:rRNA from 1 species
UAGUUCACGCCGUAAACGAUGUGUGCUAGUUGUCAGGCCCAAAGGGUUUGGUGACGGAGCGAAAGUAUUAAGCACACCGCCUGGGGAGUACGGCCGCAAGGUUAAAACUCAAAGGAAUUGACGGGGACCCGCACAAGCGGUGGAGCAUGUUGUUUAAUUCGAAGCAACGCGAAGAACCUUACCUACACUUGACAUCCUCCUUGGGACUUUCAGAGAUGAUUGUCUUCGGUUCGGCCGGGGGAGUGACAGGUGCUGCAUGGCUGUCGUCAGCUCGUGUCGUGAGAUGUUGGGUUAAGUCCCGCAACGAGCGCAACCCUUAUUGCUAGUUGCCAGCAUUUAGUUGGGCACUCUAGUGAGACCGCCGGUGAUAAGCCGGGGGAAGAUGGGGACGACGUCAAGUCAUCAUGGCCCUUACGUGUAGGGCUACAAACGUGCUACAAUGGUAGUGACAGUGGGCAGCCACCUCGCGAGAGGGAGCUAAUCUCCAAAAACUAUCUCAGUUCGGAUUGUUCU